UACGGAGGGUGCAAGCGUUGCUCGGAAUUAUUGGGCGUAAAGGGUAUGUAGGUGGUCUCAUUUGUCUGGGGCGAAAGCCUUGAGCUUAACUCAAGAAGUGCCCCAGAAACGGUGAGACUCGAGUCCUGGAGAGGGUCGUGGAAUUCCCGGUGUAGCGGUGAAAUGCGUAGAGAUCGGGAGGAACACCAGAGGCGAAGGCGGCGACCUGCACAGGAACUGACACUCAACUACGAAAGCGUGGGGAGCAAACAGG
rnacentral:rRNA from 1 species